UGUCGUAAACUCUUCUUUAUUGAUUUAAAAAGGGCAAGAGAUGUAUUAUUUUGAGUAUAUUGAUGUGAUAUUGUGGAUGGAGAACUCUCUUUAAAAGUGUCCGAAAAAUAAAGUGACUUCAAUUCAACGAACAACAAAACAAUUUGAUAGGAUGCAUCAAAUUUACAUUUAACAUAAAUAAAAUUCCUACCUAAGCUGAGAGCCUUGAAAGGCUAUUUCAGCGUAACCUUAACUAGUAGGUGAGCUCACGGGGUUCAAGCCUGAUGACGUUGCUAACACGAACCCUAGCAAGAGCCGUGCUUCACAGAAUCUACCACCGGAUCGGAAAUGCGACCCACUGAGAAGAUCCGGCGAGAAACUCAGUGGGCUGUGUCUGAGGGUUCAUUUACUCGUCGAGCCCUUCGUCGCAAGCGACGGGUUCGACGAGAACGAUGACCGAUGCUUGAGGAUCGGGAAUGUAGUUACCGGCGGCCACGAUGAGAGGGUUCUCGUGUCGCCAUGUCGUGCCGCUUUAUCGAAAUGCCGACUGAAGAUACUGAUGGACUCUAAGUCCAGGUCGUCAAGGAGGUCGACGUUCCUGACGAACCACGGAGCUCCGACGGCUAUCCUGCAAAAACGGGAUUGAAUGACUUGGAGAUUUCACAACUUAAUACAGUUUUCUUUUUUUUUUUUGAGAUUGAUUUCCCAUUUCUAUGCUUUUGUUUGUCACUUAUGAGUUAAAUAUUUUUAAGCUCUACCCUCGAAGAAGCUUAAUCAAGCAUUUAACUUGCUUUUCAUUCGUAAAAAAAAGCCCAUAAACCGAAAUCCUUUAUAACAAAAACCCGAGCUUUAUCUGUUGUUUCACGAAAAGUGAAAUUUAGCGAAAUCAAAGAUUUUAUUUUUAUAAGAGAAUUUAGAUGUCGGGUGGAAAGAAUAGAAAGCAUCUCUUAAUAAAAUGGAAAUUAACUGUGAAAGAAAACUAGGUUUCCUACUUCAUUGAAGAAAACAAUGAAAAUUUUAUUUCACUGUCAAAUAUUAAAUUUUUUUUAAGGGAUUUUAUGACCUGGUAACUAAGACUUUUAAGUCAUGUCUUGUUUUAAUUAAUUUUCUGAUUUUUAUGAAAAAUAAUGAAAUGAAAUGAAGAUGAUUAAUUUGAGACAUUAAUCAACUGAGAUGAAAUCAAAUGAAAUGAGAUGAGAUGAUAUGGGAUGAAAUAUAAUCUCAGUAAAAUGGUGGUGGUAUUGAGACUUUUUCAUUGGACUUUUUGGAGGAUCCCGAGAGGAUCCAGCGGCUUUGUUUCAUUUUCCCACAUUUGUGCACUUUCACAGAUAUUAAACAGUUAAUAAACCACCGUUAUUACACAUUUAAACCUGAAAAAACACUAAAUAGAAAAAAUAAAACAAAUCACACAACUUCACUCCUCGCGUUCAGGCCAAAAAGUCCGGAUUUAUUUUGGUUUAAAAUAAGUGUAGAUUAUAUCAAACGUCAAACAACACAAGAAAAUGACAUUUGAGACAGCUGAACUUAUAGUAACGGCAGGGGGCAGCAUCUUAAUUAAAAACAAAGCGAUGCGUUUGUAGGUGAAUGAAGUUAGCCCCUCAAAAAAAUUUUUUUUUCCUGUUUUCUACUUAUUUUCUAUUAAUUCGUUUGUUCAUCAUUUGUUCUUGAUUGUUCAUUGUUAAUAAUUGUUUGUUCCCCAUUUAUUUAUUUUAAAAAAAAUAUUAAAAAUAUAUCUAAAAGUUAGCCCCUCGAUUGCAAUUUUUAAUAUUUUUUCGUCCUUAAUUACUCGUAAAUAUUCAUUUUCGAUUGUUCUUAUAUAAAAUACGUUUGUUCUCUUUCGAAAUUACUCAUUUUUUGUUUAAUUAAUUGUAUUAGUUGAAUAAAUGUAUACAAAAUAUGUGUACUGCGCAUGCCAUAAGUGUAUAAUCUAUGGCGCAUGCGUCAACUAUAAUGCCUAAACUUUCUACGCGGUUUUAAUCGUGAAAAAAAAACAAUUAUAAAUCCUGAAGGAUCAAUUAAUUGGUAUACAGUUUAAUUAAAAAAAAAAAAAACAAAAUAAAUAAAAUAAUGUGCAUUCGCGUAAAGUUAGACCAAAUACAUUUUUUCCAUCCUCCUAUAUACCUAUCGCUAUGAAGGUAUAAAAAAGAUAGGUUAAGAGUUCACAUAGGUAAUAUAAACAAAUAAGUAAAUAUGUUCAUUAAUUAUCUUUCAAGAGAUAAUGUAGGUAUACAUUAUAAUAACAUUUUGACACAGUCGAAAUUAUAUUCCUAACAUUAGUAAAAUAACAUUUUAAUAUUUUUUUUAUAGGUUAUGUAUUGAAAUUGUUGGAAAAUUAUUUCAUGUUUUAGCUGGAAAACUACAUGGAGAAUUAUAUGCAAUACAAGAUAAUGAGCUCCAUUAAAUGAAUUCGAAUGAAACCAAACUGUUUACCAUCCAAAUUCGAUUGUCGGGCAGAUAGAAAACGAAAAUUCACUCAUAGUGAACCUGGCCUGCAUUUGUGAAACGGCAAAGACUCACUAUUAUCAAGGAAAUUGAAGAGACAACUAAAAAUGAGAUGUGUCGUAUUAUUAUACCUUUGCCAUCUUGUAGUCAAGAUGUCCAGCCACUUGAAAAUAGGUGUAGUAAUGACAAAGCUAUCCAAGUAGCUCCAGCACAGGAACACAAAGGCAAGGCAAGUGUGUAUUGCCACAUCACCCCUUAAUAUAUCUGAAGCAAGUAUAAGUAAACAAUCAGAACCAGCAAAAAAAAAAACUGUUGUUCCUGAGGACAAAUUUGACAGUGAUGAGUCAAAUGCACCAGCAACAGAAGGAUCAACUGUUGACUAUGGGUUAUAGAAGAAGAAGAUUAAUUCAUAUUUAUUUAAAUUAAUAUUAAUGAAUAUUAAUUUAAAUUAUCGUGCAAAAUUCGUGGUGAAAACAUAUGUGUAUUUUAUAAAUAAAUAUUCAUUCUCAGUA